ACAUUCCGGUCGACAGGUCGGUGGGGAUCCGAUAUAUCUUGGCAGACAGGAACAAGAGGCUGUACCACCGAUGUUCCUGCAUUCCGCGUACAUGCCACAAGGUGAUGGCACACACGGAUCUUUGGGAGCGAGAAUGUGACACAACGGAAUCUUACGAGCAGCGGAGAUGGGGGAGCAAUAAGUGAACGGAUUGCCAGUGUAUCCAGGGUUACAUGAACACGCAGAAAUCCGCAGUCUAACUCUGGAAGGUGUAAAUCAGCACUUACCUGCACUUCGUCCGCAUGCAAACGACGAAAUUUGCAAAUAGGAGAAAAAGAAGGAAAGAAAUAUGAAAAAUUGUUCUUUGGUAGACUCACCCU